GGCAGCAGUGGGGAAUAUUGCACAAUGGGGGAAACCCUGAUGCAGCCAUGCCGCGUGUGUGAAGAAGGCCUUCGGGUUGUAAAGCACUUUCAGCGAGGAGGAAAGGUUGGCGCCUAAUACGUGUCAACUGUGACGUUACUCGCAGAAGAAGCACCGGCUAACUCCGUGCCAGCAGCCGCGGUAAUACGGAGGGUGCAAACGUUAAUCGGAAUUACUGGGCGUAAAGCGCACGCAGGCGGUUGGAUAAGUUAGAUGUGAAAGCCCCGGGCUCAACCUGGGAAUUGCAUUUAAAACUGUCCAGCUAGAGUCUUGUAGAGGGGGGUAGAAUUCCAGGUGUAGCGGUGAAAUGCGUAGAGAUCUGGAGGAAUACCGGUGGCGAAGGCGGCCCCCUGGACAAAGACUGACGCUCAGGUGCGAAAGCGUGGGGAGCAAACAGGAUUAGAUACCCUGGUAGUCCACGCCGUAAACGAUGUCGAUUUGGAGGCUGUGUCCUUGAGACGUGGCUUCCGGAGCUAACGCGUUAAAUCGACCGCCUGGGGAGUACGGCCGCAAGGUUAAAACUCAAAUGAAUUGACGGGGGCUCGCACAAGCGGUGGAGCAUGUGGUUUAAUUCGAUGCAACGCGAAGAACCUUACCUGGCCUUGACAUGUCUGGAAUCCUGCAGAGAUGCGGGAGUGCCUUCGGGAAUCAGAACACAGGUGCUGCAUGGCUGUCGUCAGCUCGUGUCGUGAGAUG
rnacentral:rRNA from 1 species